rnacentral:lncRNA from 1 species
GCGAUUCUCCUGCCUCAGCCUGCCAAGUAGCUGGGAUUACAGAGGUACCUGGUGCCAGUUCCUGAGACUUGAGGAUUCUGGUUGGUUCUCAGCACAGGAGUCAGCCUGCUCUGAUUUGCUAGUGAUGUCCUAACCAAUCUCCCUGAAAAAUUAUCUGUGAAAUUUAUUUCUAUACAUCCAACAAGCACAAUGAACUCUAGGUAGAAUAAAUUCAGUGAGGUCCACAUCAAGAACAUUGUAAUCAAACUGUUGAAUGUCAAAGACAGAGAAUCUUGAAAGCAACAAGAAAGAAUCAACUAUCAUGUACAAGGGAACCUUAGUAAGAUGAACAGUUGGCUAUUUAUCAGGAACUAUGGAAGCCAGAAAACAGUGGGCAUAUUUAAAGUGCUGAAAGAAAAGAACCUAUCAACCAAGAAUUCUGUAUCUGGCAAAAUUGCCCUUCAAAAGUGAGGAAGAAAUUGAGAUAUUCCCAAUAAACAAAAGCUGAGGGGUUCACUACAAGUAGACCUGCCCUGCAAGAAAUGCUACAAGAUGUCCUCAAGUUGAAAUGAAAGGACACUAAAUGGUAACUUGAAGCUGUAUGAAGAAAUAAAGGUCUACAGUAAAGUGCGUCUAGAGUGUUGACAGUUGUUUCCAUGGACUUCAAAUCAACCCAACCCUGUGAGCACAGACUUUCAGCACCAGAGUCAGAUUUCCCAAAAAUGCUAUUCUUGAAGCGUAGAGCCAGACUCACAGAUCCUGUAAAGAAAACAGAUCUUUCAGCAAGUGAAACACCCAAUCUUCCAUUGCAUGGGACUCACAGAGGUUCUGAGGGAGAGAUGUGAAUAGAAGGAGUGAUCAUCACUGUGGACUCUAUUUCUUCCAUCUGUGCGUGCAAGAUUUAUAUCUGUAUGUGUUUGUUUUAAAGUUUUAUUGAGGUAUAAUUGAUACACAAUAAUCUGUACCUAUUUAAUGUAUACAAUUUGAUGAGUUUGGACAUACUUAAAUACCUGUGAAACCAUCACCACAAUCAAGGUAAUAGACAUAGCCAUCACCUCCAAAAGUUUCUUUGUGUCCCUUUGUGGUUUGUUUCUGAGAUAAGAACACUUAACAUGUGGACUCUUGACACUCUCCUUGGAUCUCUUAAUUUGAUUGCUGUUGCUGUCACCACAUUGACUUCCUAGCCCUGCUGAUCCUCCUUUAUCACUAGCUCUAGAAAAAAAAACAAACCAAACACCACUAAUUCAUUUAUUCAGUAAUUCAACAAAAAAACCAUUGAGCACUUAAUAUUUGCAGAAUACAUGGCUAGAUGCAGAGGAUUCAAAGAAUUGAGUGAAGUCACAUAAAGUGUUAAGAACAGUGUGUGAUACAAACAUGAAAUAUGUUAGCUGUUAGAAUUUCAAACUCACUUCCAUAUCAAUUAUAAUAAGGAUUUCCAUAAAUAGCAGAAUAGUAUUUCUAUUAGAUGCUCACAGAUGCUAAUAAAACAGUAGAAUGGUAAAAACCAUGCAUCCCCCAAGGCAAGAGAAGGUGAGCUAUUUUGCCUCGGUGGCUCAAUAUUCCAUCAAUGGGUCCUGCUUUAAACUGCAAGUACCUGCCUUCCUUCUUUCAACAGACUGACUCCACGUUGCUUUAGGAAAGAUUCACUGAAACAAAGGAAUAAACCACCCAAGAUAUAGUGUUUUUAAAAACAUUUUUUAAUGAAGAAAUUAUUCCACUCCAAAAUAUAGACACACAAUUAAAUAGUUUAAUCACUUCAAAAUAUAACAUGUCCCCAGGAGGUUCCAACACACACACACACACACACACACAAAACAAUACUUAACAGCAAUACAAAAAUCCAUACAAUAGUAUUUUUUUUUUACAAUACCAAUGAAUAUUGUGAAAUCUUUAGUGUCUCUGAAUUGAUUAUUUCAAAUGGUGUCAAAUUGCAGUAGUCAUAAUUAAAAAUGUCUUACAGUUAAUUCGCCUCAA